rnacentral:lncRNA from 1 species
GAGGAGAGGAGAGGAGAGGAGAGGAGAGGAGAGGAGAGGAGAGGAGAGGAGACGGGGUGUUCUCUAGGAGAGGAGAGGGGUGUUCUGGAGGACAGGAGAGGAGAAGAGAGGAGAGGAGCCGGGUUGUUCUCUAGGAGAGGAGAGGGGUGUUCUGGAGGACAGGAGAGGAGAGGACAGGAGAGGAGAGGAGAGGAGAGGAGAGGAGAGGAGAGGAGAGGAGAGGAGAGGAGAGGAGAGGAGAGGAGAGGGUUGUUCUCUAGGAGAGGAGAGGGGUGUUCUGGAGGAAAACCAGUGUGUAAUCUGGGGGGCCUGAAGGCAUGCUUCUGUUACCUGAGGCUGAGGUGUCGCAAGGUUUGUGUCUUUGAUCUACAGUGGAGUGGCAGGAAAGUGAGGACCAUGUCAGUUGCUGUUGGUUUGUCAUUGUCCUUUUAGAUUUUUGAAAGUUCUUAGAAUUCAUUCUAGGUUCUAAGAAUUUGUUGCAGAGAAGGGAAGAGGUAGGAUUUAAGGUAGAAUUUUAAGCAUAGUGUUUUCAGUGGAGCCUGGUCUGCAUAGACUCAGUCUAGAAAAGUGGAGUGACUGCCUGCAUGGCCUUCUUCCUAAGACCAGCCUGUGUGUGCCGGUACUUUGACACACAAACACAAACACUACGAGUGGAGACGAGGAGGAUUCUGGGAUGUGGACGAGACAGUGAAUCACAGAAAAGGCAGGUACCCACAGGACAGUUCCAGCCCAGCCCUGCGGACCGUCAGUGGGGAUUGACAGACCACAGCUGUCCUCAGUUACAGCAACAGAAGAACGGGGUUAUGGGAAAAAGGAGGGAGAGAAAGAGGUGGAGCUGUCAUUGGGAGUGGGGGUAAGGGAAAAGAGGACGUUUCUGAACUCAGACAUCAUCACAACUCCCAACAGCCGCUUUCUCUACCAUCUCUUCGUUUUAUUGUCUUUCGUCCUCCUUCUCUACCAUCUCUUUCUCCCUACUUUUCCCUCUCUCCUCCUCCUCCUCCUCCUCCCCACUCUCACCCAUCUCUUCUAUUUCCCCCCUCUCUUUCCCUCCUUCCCUCUCUUUCUCUCGUUCUCCCUGUCGUCCUAAAGCAGCACGCCUUGCUGUGGCUGGUCAAACGGAACCAAGUCAGGUGUUUCAGUGAGGUUUGGUCCCCUUCAACCAGCUACUGCGUCGUGAACUCAGUCAGCAGACAGACAGACAGACAGACAGACACCCGCAGCGGGAACGAAAGACAGAGUAGCCCUACUGCUGCAUGUUUUUGUGUCUACAUAAAUCAGGCGUUAAUGUGUUCUGUGUCUACAUAAAUCAGGUGUUAAUGUGUUCUGUGUCUACAUAAAUCAGGUGUUAAUGAACAACAUUUUGUACACUAUGGAUUCCUCUUCCUUUUCAUACUGUAUGUUUCGGUCUUGUUUAUUAUUGUGCUUGAAAAAUAAAGAAUUAAAG